rnacentral:lncRNA from 1 species
CUCCCCCACCCACUCCCCCACCCUCCCACUUCUUGGCCCUGACUUUCCCCUGUACUGAGGCAUAUAAAGUCUGCAUGACCAAUGGGCCUCUCUUUCCACUGAUGGCUGACUAGGCCAUCUUCUGAUACAUAUGCAGCUAGAGACGUGAGCUGGGGGGGGUGGGGGGAAGGGAGGGCAGGUUACUGGUUAGUUCAUAUUGUUGUUCCACCUAUAGGGUUGCAGAUCCCCACAGCUCCCUGGGUACUUCCUCCAGCUCCUCCAUUGGGGGCCCUGUGAUCCAUCCAAUAGCUGACUGUGAGCAUCCACUUCUGUGUUUGCUAGGCCCCCACAUAGUCUCACAUGAGACAUCUAUAUCAGGGUCCUUUCAGCAAAAUCUUGCUAGUGUAUGCAAUGGUGUCAGCGUUUGGAGGCUGAUUAUGGGAUGGAUUUCAGGGUAUGGCAGUCUCUAGAUGGUCCAUCCUUUCGUCUCAGCUCCAAACUCUGUCUCUGUAGCUCUGUCCAUGGGUGCCUUUCUCGCAAUUCCAAGAAGGGGCAAAGUAUCCACACCUUGGUCUUCGUUAUUUCCGAACUUCACUUCAUGUGUUUCGCAAAUUGUAUCUUAUAUCUUGGGUAUUCUAAGUUUCUGGGCUAAUAUCUACUUAUCAGUGAGUACAUAUCAUGUGAGUUCUUUUGUGAUUGAGUUACCUCACUCAGGAUGAUGCCCUCCAGGUCCAUCCAUUUGCCUAGGAAUUUCAUAAAUUCAUUCUUUUUAAUAGCUGAAUAGUACUCCAUUGUGUAAAUGUACCACAUUUUCUGUAUCCAUUCCUCUGUUGAGGGGCAUCUGGGCUCUUUCCAGAUUCUGGCUAUUAUAAAUAAGGCUGCUAUGAACAUAGUCUAGCUCUUUGAUAAUGAACCAAAAUAAAAUACUGUCACUUGAAUUACCAAACAGUGACCUGACACUAUUACUGAAGCUAUAGAGUGCUCACAAGAAGGGACCGAGCAUGACUGCCCUCCAAAAGGUUCAACAAGCAGGUGAAAGAGUCAGAUGCAAAGACAGAAGCUGCUGAUCCCUGUAGUUGAAUUAGGGAAAAGCUGGAAGUAGCUGAGGAGGAGAGUAACCUUGUAGGAGGACCAGAAGUCUGAAUUUUCCUGGACCUGGAGAUCUUUCAAAUACUAGACCACCAACCAAGUAGUAUACACCAGAUGAUAUGAAAUCCCCAACACAUAAACAGCAGAGGACUGCAGGGUGGUAGUGGCACACACCUUUAAUCUCAGCACUUGGGAGGCAGAGGCAGGCAGAUUUCUGAGUUCGAGGACAGCCUGUUCUAAAAAGUUAGUUCCAGGACAGACAGGGCUAAACAGAGAAAACCUGUCUCGCAAAGACAGAGAGAGAGAGAGAGAGAGAGAGAGAGAGAGAGAGAGAGAGAGAGAGAGAGAGAAAGAAAACAAAAAACAAAACAAAACAACAGCAGAGGACUGUCGGGUCUGGGUUCAGUCAAAGAAGAAAAGAAGAUGCUCCUAACCCAUUGGAUCAUAGGGUUAAUCCAUCAUUUAACCCCACACUACCAUGACGAAGGGUAUUUGCGUACUCUGUGUUUUUGUUAUGGCACAAAGCAAAUGCAUUUAAACAUCGAAUUAAUGAAUUAAUUAUCUAAUUAACCUUAAUAACUUCAUUUGAAGAAAUGCAGAAAACCUCUAAAUUGCACAGACAUACAUGAUCAUGUGAAAAAAUAUAUCUUAAUAACAAGCAUAAAAAUUAAGGAAUUCUAGAAAUAGAUAAUAAACACGCUCAUCUGUUCUGUUAAUCUUUUCUUCUAUACUAUUUGCUUCUAAAGAUAUUGGUAUUUUCUAACAUAUGCACAUAAUUUUAUCAUAAUGUAAAUCCAAAAUAUACUUUAGAUAAUCAAUUUCCUCUUAUUCAAUGUAUCAGCAUUCAGUCACAAAAUAAUUUUACCCUCAUUAAUAUUAUCAAAUUUCAUUGUAAAUCAAGUGAAUGAACUUUAAACAGCAUGCUUAAGUCUAUGCAUCUCUCUUCAUUUAUAAAACAGGCAAUAAAUACAAUAAUAGUUCUUUUUCUUCAACAGGUCUUAGAUUAUGCCUAAUUAUAAGUUCCCUGAUACUUGAAUGAGUGCAUUUUGGUGUACUUAAUAUUAGAUAACAGAGAAAUCUUUAAAAGCCAAGAAAUUUCAAAUAAUAUUAAACAUAUUUUCUGUGACUUAUGUGAUUGAAACUGAUUGAAUUCAUAUACCUGCUUAUAUUUAUAUUAAAGUAAAAAUCUCAAUUACUAACCACUUAUUAAAAGAAAUUACUUGAGACAACUUUAAAGAAUUAAAAACCCUACAAUUUUAGGCACCAACAUUUUUAUAGUCAAUUACUUUAGUAUAAUAUGAAUAAUUGAAACAAAAUUCUGCUUUAUUCAAGUAAUAUACUUGUCUGAGUAAGGGUUUCUAUAACUGUGAAGACACACCAUGGCUACAGAAACUAUUAUAAAGGAACACAUUUAAUUAAGGAUGAAUUACAUGUUCAGAGGUUUAUUUCAUUGAAGUCUUGGUGAGAAACAGGGUACUGCAUAGUCAAACAUGGUGACAAAUCAUUCAAUUUAUAAAUCUAAGGAGGGAGUCAUUCUUCUUAAAACCACCACAAUAUUUUGAUAAUCGAUUUUUGAAUAGUGGUGAUUGGAUGAUAUAUAAUCACCAACUAUUAUGAACUUUGGUAAGGCCAGUAAGCACUAUAAGUAUAAGGUCAGUAAGUAUUUGUUUUCUCAUGAAUGAAUCAUAACAACACACAGAUGAAAGCCUUCCUCUAAGAGUAACCAAAAUUGUAGCACCGACAGCAGUAUCUAAAGGGCUAGAGUUAUAUACCUCCUUUCGAUGCCUAGGAACCUUGCUUGGCAUCUUGUAUGAAGAAAAUCUUGUCCUACAAAGCACUAUGACCCUAGAACCAACAUAGAAAUGUCAGGUGUGGUAAUAUGUGCACAUGUAACCUAGGAAUUUGGGGUGCAAAAAUAGGAGUAUUCUUGGGGCUUAAUAGUUACCCAAAGCAGACUAAAUGUUGUGCUCCAAACCAAUGAGAAAGCCUGCAUUUCUGAGGGUAACACCUGAGGUUGUCCUGGGAUGUCCCCAUGGAUACAUGUCCACAGACACAUCCAUACACAGGAACCCGGGCACACAUACAAGCACAUCAAAUGUUUUCAUUUGUGUUAUAGAAGUCAAGAACCAUUUAUUUCUCUGUCAAAAAAAAAUCUUGAAUGAAAUAAUGCCAAAACAGCAAACAAGGUCAAUUAAAUUUGAAGAAAUUUAUUUGUAAAUUUGAAGAAAUGUAUUUGUAAAUGCACAUACACAUUAAACAUAUUAAUUCAGUUCUGUGAAGCAAAUUGGAAUAAUCCAUUAACAUGGCAGAUAAUGCAGCUUAGAUUUAGACUAUUUAAGAAAUAUGUCAGUGUUCAUAUGGUUAUUAGUGAUAGACCUCAGUUUAAUCCAUGAAAUAUGAUUUUCAAGUGUCUUCCUAUAACUUUACUAAUAACCAGUCGCUCUGUUAAGUGUUAUAGAACAAUUGAUUCAGUAUUUCAAUGCAACAAACAUUUAUUGUUUUCCAGUAUUUUAUAGCGACCAUAUAAAGCCUAAAAUGCCAUAAAAUCACUUCAUUAUUUUUGUUCAUUUGUUUAAGGCAGGGUGUCUGUGACUUAGGUCUGUCCUCAUGAUAAUCAUCUUGUCUCAGCUUUCUUAGAUACUGGAACAAGAGGCAUAAACUAGCACAACUAAUAUCCAAAUGCUACUCUUUAAUUUUCAAAAUACUGGAGGAAAUGAGCUAUGC